CCUAGAGUCAAGACCACUGUAUAUAAAACAAUUUAUUGUGUUUGUAUUUUUCUCUCAAGAUCCUAAUAGCUUUUGUCAUUUAUUUUCUCUAAAUGUGUGUGUGAUAUGAGAUCAAACAAUAAAAAACCUGGAGACUUAAAAUCAGAAGGAACGACAUAUAUCUUAAGUGUUCCAUGAGGAGAGAAUGGGGAAAAGGAAAUACUUGAUAAUUUAUUUUCUUAACGUGAUAAGAGGUAUAAAUCUCCAACUUCAAGAAUAUACUGUGUUUCAAGAGGGAAGAUAGCGAAACUGGAGAAGAUAUUAAAAGGUUGAGUGGACACUGUGCCUGCCUUCAGGUGGAUGAGAAUUUUUAAAAAUCACGUUAUAGUUGUAUGUACUAGUCUUUGCUUUGUAACAAACUAUUUCACUCAGUGGCUUAAAACAAUUUAUUAUUUCUCAUGAUUUUAUGAGUUGAGUGGAUGAUUUUAUUGCUAUUGUUAUUUGUGUUCAUGCCUCUGCAUUAUUCUAAUGUGUUAGUUGGAGGUUGCGCUUGACUGGUAUAGCUGGGUCUCGCUCUCUAUGUGGUCUUUUAUCUUGGACUUCUUCACAACCCAGUGGUCUUGGGGUAGGAGUGGAAGCUGUAAGGCCUCUUAAGGCUAAAGCUUAGAAAUUAUAUUGUGUCACUUCUACCUGAUUCUGUUGUUCAAAGUCAAAAGACCAGUCUCAAUUCAGAGUUUGGGGAAAUAGACUAUCUCUUGAUUACGGUGGUAUAGAGAUUUUGUGGUCAUAUAUAUUUUCAACAUCAAUGUAAUUAGAUGAAUGCUGUGGUAAAGAUAAAUAAAGGAUGCUUUAGAGUAGUUGAAGCCUAAUCAACUUCAGGGAAGAGUCAGG
rnacentral:lncRNA from 1 species